rnacentral:lncRNA from 1 species
GAUAUGGUCUUGUACAAGAGGGAAAGCAGGAAAAAAAAAGGGAUGGUCUUGGCUAAAAAUUUAUAUAUUUCUAAGGAGAAAUGAUAUCUUCAUAUAUAUAAUAAUUUUGAAAGCACUAAAAGAAUAAAAAUAAAUUCACUUUGUAAUAAUGCUUUACAUAUUACUAUUGGGAAUAAUUUUUCUUCUGGGGGACCUUCUCCAAUUAUGCCUUUUUGGAAGGGAAAAAGACUGUGCAUAAAAAGAAUAUAUAGAGCUUUUUGAGGAAUAUUAGGCUGGUGGUUGAAUUAAUUAUCAUGAAACAAUAGUGGGAAUGUAAUCUUCCCAUCCCUUAUACUUAUGUUCAGCUUAAAUAUUAAAUAAAAUGACUUUAGAUUUAUGAAAUAAGGUCAGUUUCAUAUGUUAAAAAAAAUUUAAGGUAUUAAAAUAAUGAGUCUGGUCAAGGUACUAAUGUAUCUUCUACUAGGAUUAGAUGAGGUAUCAAAGUACCUCUUCUUUAAUAUUUCUUUGCUAUUUUAAUAACAAGUUCAUUUGUGUUCAGUCUUUUUUUUUCUUCAUAAUUGCAGGUUUUAAUAACAUGGAUUUAAGAAUCCUAAGUGAUUCAUUUAAAACUCCUCUUAGAAUUAAUUAGGAUUAUUAUUUGUGUUAUUUGAUUUAAGGCUUUUAAAAGCCAGGGUUGUAAUUAAUUCCUCUUAGGCGCCCUCUCAUCCUUAAUCUCUUUCUAGUUAUGCUCUAUUCUUUUUUUCCUCAUUUUCUUUACAUGGUUUAAUUUCCCGCAUUAGGUUUUCACCUCACAUGCUUAAACAACUAAAAUCAAUUUAGCAUUUUGUAUGUGGUAGGCUCCAAUGCUCAAUUUGAAGCAAGUUAAAUUUAUUAGUGUAAUCUUGCUAUCCCUUAUGCUUAUGUUGAGCUCAAAUACUAAAUAAAAUGACUUUUAGAUUUAUGAAAUAAAAUUAGACAUUAAUUUGGUUAGUAUCACAUAUUAAGAAAAACUUAAGGUAUUAAAGUAUCUCCCCUAGGACUAGAUAAGGUACCAAUAUAUCUUUCUAAUGAGUCUAAUCAAGGUACUAAUAUAUCUUUUGCUAGGAUUAGAUGAGGUAUUAAAGUACAUCUUCUUUAAUAUUUCUUUGCUCUUUUUAAUUACAAGUUUCUUUGUGUUUAAUCUUUUUACUAACUUUAUUUUCUUAUAGUUGCAGGUUUUGAUAGUAUGGAUUUAGAAAUCCUAAGUGAUUCAUUUA